rnacentral:rRNA from 1 species
UAAGGCCAUCCGGGCGCUGGUUGUCCCGGUUUAAGCGUGUAGGUGGAGGACUUUGGCAAAUCCGGGUCCUUGUUAACACUGAGGCGUGAUGACGAUGUCUUUCAGACAAUAAAGUGGCUGGGUCCAUGCUUCCAGGAAAAUCCUCGUAUCUAGUUAUGAAUGUGACCGUACCGUAAACCGACACAGGUGGGCUGGUAGAAGAUACCAAGGCGCUUGAGAGAACUCUGGUUAAGGAACUCGGCAAAAUAGCACCGUAACUUCGGGAGAAGGUGUGCCUGCAUGGUGUAAUAAUUUACUUAUGAAGCCUACGCAGGUUGCAGUGAAAUGGGGGGAGCGACUGUUUACUAAAAACAUAGGACUCUGCGAAGUCGAAAGACGAUGUAUAGGGUCUGACGCCUGCCCGGUGCCGGAAGGUUAAGGGGACAUGUCAGCGCAAGCGAAGCAUUGAACCGAAGCCCCGGUAAACGGCGGCCGUAACAAUAACGGUCCUAAGGUAGCGAAAUUCCUUGUCGGGUAAGUUCCGACCUGCACGAAUGGCGUAACGAUUUCCCCACUGUCUCAACCAGAGGCUCAGCGAAACUGUAGCACCGGUGAAGAUGCCGGUUACCCGCAACUAGACUGAAAGACCCCGUGAACCUUUACUAUAGCUUGGCAUUGUUUUUUGAGGUAACAUGUGUAGGAUAGGUGGGAGACUUUGAAGUGGGCACGCCAGUGCUCAUGGAGUCAACCUUGAAAUACCACCCUUGUUAUCUUAGAAAUCUAACCGCGGUCCGUCAUCCGGAUCCGGGACAUUGUCUGGUGGGUAGUUUGACUGGGGCGGUCGCCUCCCAAAUUGUAACGGAGGCGCGCGAUGGUUCCCUCAGGCUGAUUGGAAACCAGCCGUAGAGUGUAAAGGCAUAAGGGAGCUUGACUGCGAGACAGACAUGUCGAGCAGGUACGAAAGUAGGUCUUAGUGAUCCGGCGAUUCCGCAUGGAAGGGUCGUCGCUCAACGGAUAAAAGGUACUCCGGGGAUAACAGGCUUAUCUCCCCCAAGAGUCCAUAUCGACGGGGAGGUUUGGCACCUCGAUGUCGGCUCAUCACAUCCUGGGGCUGUAGCAGGUCCCAAGGGUUUGGCUGUUCGCCAAUUAAAGUGGUACGUGAGCUGGGUUUAAAACGUCGUGAGACAGUUUGGUCCUUAUCUGUUGCGGGCGCAGGAUAUUUGAGGAGAUCUUUCCCUAGUACGAGAGGACCGGGAUGGACGAACCUAUGGUGUACCAGUUGUUCCGCCAGGAGCAUCGCUGGGUAGCUAUGUUCGGCAGGGAUAACCGCUGAAAGCAUCUAAGCGGGAAGCCCACUUCAAGAUAAGAUAUCCCAUGGCGUAAAAGUCAUCUGAAGGCUCGUGGUAGACCACCACGUCGAUAGGUCGGAUGUGGAAGUGCAGUAAUGCAUGCAGCUUACCGAUACUAAUCAGCCGUGCGGCUUAUCCAU